AUCUUUUAGGUGCGUUGCAAAAGACCCAAUUUGCAUCGCACCCUAUUCAAUGUAAGAUGCACAUAUUAAGGAGGCCUACAGCCCACUACCUUUUUUUCAGAAACCCUAUGCACGCACCUUUCAUUUCUCCCUCUCUCACACUUUCUCUCUCUCCCUCCCUCACUCACCCAACCCUAAUUUCGCUGAACACACCUUUCAUUUCUUGCCGCUUCUCUUCAAUACAAUCCAUGUUUCUUCACUUCUCCAUAACCAUAAUAACGCUAAUGCAUGAAGAGGUUCCCCUCUCUCUCACUCGUUUUCCGGCGAACGAACGACGAUGGCAACGAACGAAAAUGAAAAAAACUCCGCUGCUUCUCACUCUCAAAUUCUCCUCUCACUCCUUUUCGUUCGAGAGAGACAGAGAGAGGUUCAUCAGCGACUCCCCAUCUUCGACCCAUUCGUUCUCUCAGGCGACUCCCAUCUCCGUUCUUCUCUCCAGCGCACCUCUCAAACACGAAAAUUCACUCUAACGCUGACGGUGGUUGCAUGGUGGUAUAUAGUGAUGGUGAUGUUGCCUUCUUUUUGCAGAUCGCAAUUUGAUGCUCAUAAUUUGGCCGGCGAUGCUUCUAUUUCGAUGAAUGUCUCGAUCGUUCUUUCUUUUUCUUAAAUUAUGAAUCCCUAGUAGUAAGUUCUCGAAUAUUUUUGUAUAUUUUACAUUUUUUUUAGAUAUUUCUUCAACACAAUCCAUGUAAGAUCUUAUAUAUUUUCAUUUUCGAUUUUAGAUCUGGAAACUUAGAGGAUUUUUUCUGUUUUUUUUAAGUUGUAAAUUCUAAAUUGAUAAUAGUGGUUUGUUCUCUUUGUCUCUCUUAGUUUUAUUGAUAAUAGAACUUUCCGCCAUUGUUUUU